rnacentral:rRNA from 1 species
AAAAUUUAAAGGACGCGGUAACCUUGACCGUGAUAAUGUAGCAUAAUCAUUCGCCAUUUAAUUGAUGGAUAGUAUGAAUGGUUGAACGAAUAUUUCACUGUCUUAAAAAGAAAUAACAAAAAACUAGGAUAAUAGUAAAGACACUAUUUCAGAUUGUAAGACGAAAAGACCCUAUAGAGCUUAACUAUAACCUCUUUACAUAAAAAGAAUAUGAUUCCUAAAUAAAGAGGCUGGUAGUUUAGUUGGGGCGACUAUCUUUUAAAAAAAACAAAGAUAAGCAAAGUAAAUAAUAAACUUAUUGUAUAAAAUAUAAAUUUAACAAUUAUAAAAAUAGGCUAUAAUGACCCGUUGUUAUUAAAUAAGAAAUACAACGAUCAAUAAAUAAAAGCUACCUUAGGGAUAACAGGAUAAUUUUAUUCUAGAGAUCUUAUCGAAAAUAAAGUUUGUCACCUCUAUGUUGAAUUAAGA